rnacentral:rRNA from 1 species
AUUGAACGCUGGCGGCAUGCUUUACACAUGCAAGUCGAACGGUAACAGGCCGCAAGGUGCUGACGAGUGGCGAACGGGUGAGUAAUGCAUCGGAACGUGCCCAGUCGUGGGGGAUAACGCAGCGAAAGCUGCGCUAAUACCGCAUACGAUCUAUGGAUGAAAGCGGGGGACCGUAAGGCCUCGCGCGAUUGGAGCGGCCGAUGUCAGAUUAGGUAGUUGGUGGGGUAAAGGCUCACAAAGCCAACGAUCUGUAGCUGGUGUGAGAGGACGACCAGCCACACUGGGACUGAGACACGGCCCAGACUCCUACGGGAGGCAGCAGUGGGGAAUUUUGGACAAUGGGCGCAAGCCUGAUCCAGCAAUGCCGCGUGCAGGAAGAAGGCCUUCGGGUUGUAAACUGCUUUUGUACGGAACGAAACGGUCCUGGUUAAUACCUGGGGCUAAUGACGGUACCGUAAGAAUAAGCACCGGCUAACUACGUGCCAGCAGCCGCAGUAAAAC